rnacentral:rRNA from 1 species
UAAACGUCCCACGCUCGGAUUGCAGUCUGCAACUCGACUGCAUGAAGCUGGAAUCGCUAGUAAUCGCGAAUCAGCAUGUCGCGGUGAAUACGUUCCCGGGUCUUGUACACACCGCCCGUCACACCAUGGGAGUCGGAAAUGCCCGAAGCCGGUGACCCAACCAAAAGGAGGGAGCCGUCGAAGGCAGGUCUGAUAACUGGGGUGAAGUCGUAACAAGGUAAC